ensembl:lncRNA
AACAGUAGAACAGCAAGAAGGGAAGAGAAACACACAGACGUUUUAGAAAGAAGAAUAGAAGUUUCCUAAUACUCAAAAAAGAACCGGUGAAGUUCUUCUUAGAGCAGUCAGGAGGAAGCAAGUGUUUCUGUGUGCAAACUUAAGGUUUGAUAUGAGGCAUGAACACAUUCUUCCUGCUCAGCUGAUCCCUCUUGAAACCAGAGUGUGUCUUCACUAUGCUUGUAACUCUGAGGAAUGGUCCUGCAGCUACGGAAUGGUGUGUAAGGGAGACUCAGCAGGUGAAGGAGACUUUGCAUGGAAAGAUCACUGCUGCAAACUGUGAAGAAGCAAAUAGACCUGAGAAUGAAAAAAGUCUACUUGUCCCCUCUGUAUAGAGUAAUGGAAUUAUUCUGCCUUCUUAAAACAACUGAUGGGGAAACAGACAGCCUCAAGACACUACAAGUUACUUUUGUCUGAUAUUAAGGGAAUCAAGCUUAGACAAGCUAUAACUCAAUAGGUGAUAAAAAUCUAUGCAUGACAUUGCUAAAAGAGAUUUGAUGACUAUGGAUUUCUUCUUAAUGAAGGGACGUCCCCUCUAAUGCAAAAUAACCCCACCAAUCAUCACAAAGAAGAAGAAAAAGAUCUUCAUAUGUCUUUUCUACUUUCUCCCCUUGAGUAUCUCCUGUGAACAUGAUCUGCUGGAUGAGACACUCCAAAGAGCUUAUUUUUCUCUUUGUGUGAACCUCCCUCUGCCUGUGUUCUGAAUUUUUCUUGCUCCUCCUGGAGGCUGUUCUAUGGGGCUGGUACUCAUUUGAGAAUCUUUCACAGGUUUUUCUUUUUAAGUUGAUCAUCAAGUUUUUGGUGGAGAUAGAGCAGAAGGUCUGUUUUGCUGAAUGAAAGACUCUUCUAUUGAGACCAUACAAUAGUGAGAUCUCUCUAAGAUUUCUGUCCGUGUAUCAGUCUCACUCUGUCAUACUAUGUACCAUCUUUGCAGUGCCACAGCUUUAAUUCAGUGUUUUCUAUGACCUCUUGGGGAUAAUGUUUGCAAGUUAAAAAGUGCUGAAUAGGCACAAAUGAGAAAUGCAAAAGAAGUGAAAAUACUUGGGUUUUAAGGAAGAUUUCUUUAAAUGUUCUGUCAGCAUUGCUUGCACGUGUGCUCAUUUCUGAUAAACAUUCAAAGGCUCAAAUUUCUUGGUGCUAGUAGACAUGAAAAAUAAAUGUCGAAGUUGCAUG